GGCUCGGUAGCUCAGUCGGUAGAGCAGAGGAUUGAAAAUCCUCGUGUCGGCGGUUCGAUCCCGUCCCGAGCCACCA
rnacentral:tRNA from 1 species